rnacentral:rRNA from 1 species
UACGAAGGGGGCUAGCGUUGUUCGGAAUCACUGGGCGUAAAGCGCACGCAGGCGGAUCGAUAAGUCGGGAGUGAAAGCCCGGGGCUCAACCCCGGAAUUGCCUUCGAUCCUGUCGGUCUCGAGUCCGGGAGAGGUGAGUGGAAUUCCUAGUGUAGAGGUGAAAUUCGUAGAUAUUAGGAAGAACACCAGUGGCGAAGGCGGCUAACUGGCCAGGUACUGACGCUCAGGUGCGAAAGCGUGGGGAGCAAACAGG